CAGGAACUCCAGGGGAGUGGAAAUACAGCAGUCAUUAAUAAAGCAAGGGAGGUGGCUUGGCAAACCAGUGCUGACCGACUAAAUGCCCACUAAAAUCAUCGGUGACACCAUGCGACUGGUGGAGGACCACCUCCAGAGAGCCUCACACCUGCAGACGAGCUGGUCUUAAGCCUCAACCGGGGGCGCUCUCUAGUAGAGGGAAUAGAGGGUGGGACCUCUUCUGACGUCCUUCCCCAAGGUGUUCGGGAGAAAUAUGUUCAAGGUAUUUUGACUGCUAUGCCUUUCCUCAAAAGGUAUCAGUCUCUCUAUGGUAAAUGGUAAAAUAGGGUAACAGGCCUAUCUUUCAGUGACUGGAGAUUAAAUAUCCCUUUUGGAUCCCACUGAAGGGGCCCAAGCCCAUUACAUUGAUCCCGUAAGUAGUCCUUUUUUAAAGGCUGUGCAUGAUAACAUUAUUAUUUGCCUUUUUAACUGCUGUGCUCUAUUUGCAGGGAGAAGGUGCUAGCAUGUGUAUGGCCCCUGAUGAAGAGACCAUGUCUGCCAUGACAGAAAUUCCAGAGGAAAUUCCAAGAACAUCGUCAAGGAGCGAAGUAGGUAACUAUUAAUAUUGCUAUUGACGACAUAAUCGGCUACUCUGACAAUCUUCUUUUUCACAGGAUGUCCGGGCAAUAUACAAGAGGCAUUUACUUCUUGAUAUUGAAAGCAAAAAACUGGACAUGGGAUUUUUAAUCUUCAACACAGAAGAUUAAAAAUAAAAAAGUUGCAAUUGGAGAUAAAGAAACUGGAGAAGGAUAUAUGUAUACAUUUAAAACACUGCAGAAGGUCAUA